GAUGAACGCUAGCGGCAGGCUUAAUACAUGCAAGUCGUGGGGCAGUAUGAAGUAGCAAUACUUUGAUGGCGACCGGCAAACGGGUGCGGAACACGUACACAACCUUCCUUUUAGUGGGGAAUAGCCCAGAGAAAUUUGGAUUAAUACCCCGUAACAUAGCGAUGUGGCAUCACAUUGCUAUUAUAGCUUCGGCGCUAGAUGAUGGGUGUGCGUAUGAUUAGAUAGUUGGCGAGGUAACGGCUCACCAAGUCUACGAUAAUUAGCUGAUGUGAGAGCACGAUCAGCCAAGCGGACACAGAGACACGCUCCCGACUCCUACGGGAGGCAGCAGUAAGGAAUAUUGGUAAAUGGACGAAAGUCUAAACCAGCCAUGCCGCGUGAAGGAUUAAGGUCCUCUGGAUUGUAAACUUCUUUUAUAUGGGACGAAAAAAGGUCUUUCUAGAUCACUUGACGGUACCAUAUGAAUAAGCACCGGCUAACUCCGUGCCAGCCGCCGCCGUAACAC
rnacentral:rRNA from 1 species